ACGCAUUGCCGGGUAGCUAAAUGCGGAAGAGAUAAGUGCUGAAAGCAUCUAAGCACGAAACUUGCCAAGAGAUGAGUCAUCCCUGACUUUAAGUCAGUAAGGGUUGUUGUAGACUACGACGUAGAUAGGUCUGGUGUGUAAGUGUAGUGAUACAUUGAGCUAACAGAUACUAAUUGCCCGAGAGGCUUAACUAUACAACGCUCAAG
rnacentral:rRNA from 1 species